rnacentral:ncRNA from 2 species
AAAUUUAUCAUGGAUGGUAAAGUGUUUUGAGAUAAAAUACUUACAGGGAACGCGGUGAAAAUCCGCGACGGUCGCGCCGCUGUGAUCGUCCGACCCGGCAUCAGCCGGGAACCCUGACAGCUUUAUACCACUGUUCAAGUCGAAUGGGAAGGUGUUGUCAGGCAGGAUGAGAGUCAGAAUACCUGUUACGAUGAAUUUAGUAAA